rnacentral:lncRNA from 1 species
GAGUUGAGCUGGAAUGCUAUUGGUAGUAAAUGGGGGGCUUCGUUACCAUCCAUUUAUUUACAAUGAUCGGCGCCGUUGAAUAUAAUUUAUACUAUUUGAAAUAUCUAGAAAUAAAAUUUUAAAUUUUUUAGACAUCAUUGGCCUAAUGAUCAAAGAGUUUCAAAAUUUAUAAUUUUAACGGUCGAUAUGAAACGUUUUUCGUUUAACAGCGUAAAGAUAUUCAAAUCAAUUGCGUUUUAGUUAGAAAAUUCUUUAAACUAUUUAGAACAAGAUCUAUACUCUUGAUCUUAAUUACAAUACUCUUAUCGUUACUCUUUAAAAGAUAUUCAUUUUCGGCCGUUCAUUUUUGUGUCCACUUGAUACAUAAGAGAACGAUAUCGAAAAAGUACGAAAUUUGAUUUCUAAAUGUUUCAAGUGGUGUAGAUUAUGUUCAAUAGCGCUGAUCAUCGAUUUGGAGACUCGAUCACCGAAAACAAAUAAAUGGCAAUAGAGCCUGUUUGCUAUCGGUAACAUUCCAGCUCAACUUUCUCUCUCUCUCUCUCUCUCUCUCUCUACAUAUAUANAGCCCUUGGAUGGAGAGAUGUGAGGUUGAGAUGAUGGGGAUAGGUGGUGGUAGGUGGUGGUAGGUGGAAUAGUGUUUGAUUCAAGGGCUAUUUGUAAUCAAAAAGUAGAUCCAAUGGCUAAAAACGUGAUAGCAACAUGAAGAUGAUACUUGUAAAAGUAUCCUAGAUCAAUUAUAUAUAUAUAUAUAUAUAUAUAUAUAGAAUA